rnacentral:lncRNA from 1 species
CGAACCCCAGGAGUGAGGGCGCACAGCCGGGACGAGGAAGCGGCGGUCGGAAACCCCGCACCAGCGCUGCCAGCUUGCGGUCCGACGUGGGCUCAGCGCCCUGGGCGCGGGCUCCCGGGGCGAAGGAGAGAGCUAGCUUAGUUCCGGCCGGCGCCCACCAGGAACGGGCCGCCCUUCCCCAAAUCAGAUUGAAUACAUGA